CGUGCAGGCGGUUUGGUAAGUUGGGUGUUAAAUCUCCAGGCUCAACCUGGAGCCGUCGCCCAAAACUACCAGACUAAAGGACGGUAGAGGGAGGUGGAAUUCCGGGUGUAGCGGUGAAAUGCGUAGAUACCCGGAGGAACACCAGUGGCGAAGGCGGCCUCCUGGGCCGCUCCUGACGCUAAGACGCGAAAGCUAGGGUAGCGAACG
rnacentral:rRNA from 1 species